UACGUAGGGUGCAAGCGUUGUCCGGAAUUAUUGGGCGUAAAGAGCUCGUAGGCGGUUUGUCGCGUCUGCCGUGAAAGUCCGGGGCUCAACUCCGGAUCUGCGGUGGGUACGGGCAGACUAGAGUGAUGUAGGGGGAGACUGGAAUUCCUGGUGUAGCGGUGAAAUGCGCAGAUAUCAGGAGGAACACCGGUGGCGAAGGCGGGUCUCUGGGCCGAUACUGACGCUGAGGAGCGAAAGCGUGGGGAGCGAACAGG
rnacentral:rRNA from 1 species